GGGUAGCGGGGGAUCUUGGGUUGUGUCCCCCAGUGCCCGGAGCUUUGGGGCCUGCAUGGCUGGAAUCGUGAUCCUGGGCCAUGCAGCUCCCU
rnacentral:pre_miRNA from 1 species